rnacentral:rRNA from 1 species
AUUGAACGCUGGCGGCAGGCCUAACACAUGCAAGUCGAGCGGAUGAAGGGAGCUUGCUCCUGGAUUCAGCGGCGGACGGGUGAGUAAUGCCUAGGAAUCUGCCUGGUAGUGGGGGAUAACGUCCGGAAACGGGCGCUAAUACCGCAUACGUCCUGAGGGAGAAAGUGGGGGAUCUUCGGACCUCACGCUCUCAGAUGAGCCUAGGUCGGAUUAGCUAGUUGGUGGGGUAAAGGCCUACCAAGGCGACGAUCCGUAACUGGUCUGAGAGGAUGAUCAGUCACACUGGAACUGAGACACGGUCCAGACUCCUACGGGAGGCAGCAGUGGGGAAUAUUGGACAAUGGGCGAAAGCCUGAUCCAGCCAUGACGCGUGUGUGAAGAAGGUCUUCGGAUUGUAAAGCACUUUAAGUUGGGAGGAAGGGCAGUAAGUUAAUACCUUGCUGUUUUGACGUUACCAACAGAAUAAGCACCGGCUAACUUCGUG